rnacentral:rRNA from 1 species
GACGAACGCUGGCGGCGUGCUUAACCCAUGCAAGUCGAACGAAAAGAGGGAAAGAGCUUGCUCUUUCCGGAAUUGAGUGGCAAACGGGUGAGUAACACGUAAACAACCUGCCUUCAGGAUGGGGACAACAGACGGAAACGACUGCUAAUACCGAAUAAGUUCCAAGGGCCGCAUGGCCCAUGGAAGAAAAGGUGGCCUCUACCUGUAAGCUAUCGCCUGAAGAGGGGUUUGCGUCUGAUUAGCUGGUUGGAGGGGUAACGGCCCACCAAGGCGACGAUCAGUAGCCGGUCUGAGAGGAUGAACGGCCACACUGGAACUGAGACACGGUCCAGACUCCUACGGGAGGCAGCAGUGGGGAAUCUUCCGCAAUGGGCGAAAGCCUGACGGAGCAACGCCGCGUGAGUGAUGACGGCCUUCGGGUUGUAAAACUCUGUGAUCCGGGACGAAAAGGCAGAGUGCGAAGAACAAACUGCAUUGACGGUACCGGAAAAGCAAGCCACGGCUAACUACGUG